AUUCAGUGGACACAUUUUAGUGAAUCCAGAUGAAGUAUAAGGUCCUGGUCCCUUGCUUCCAUCUGGUCAAUUUCAGUUCAAUUUUCCCUGUCUAAUCCUGCGUUCGUCACUCCCCUAGCAAGGCUGUUUUCUGGUGCGCUUUCCUGUGUGCAAAUCUCUGCCUGUGUGUGCUCGCGAGUACACACACACACACACACACACACACACACACACACACACACCUUUAAAAAUCUUUUUAAAAAGAAUACCUGUUGUUGGGCUUAGUGGCUCACAUCUUGACCCUCAGCACACAGAAGGCAGAUACAGGUAGAUCUCUGUGAGUUUACGGCUAGCCUAGUCUAUGGAAUGAGUGAAAUAUGUUUUGGGGAACUUGAUGUUAAGAGUCAUUUUCCUCACAUAUUCAAAAUAUCUAUAAUAUAAGAAGGAAUGUAAGAGAUGAACAGGGAGGAGUGCUGUAAAAACUGCCUCCUGGACAUACAAUGUGGUGGCUGCUUUGAUGAGAUCAUAGCUGUGGUUACCUACACAAAAGACAGGGCCUGUCAACAUUCCGUUGUGGGGGUUGGACUGAUGAGGCCCCAUCCCUCCCUGAGGAACCAUCGGUAAAGUCAGUGGCUGCUCUGAGAGAGGAGUAAUUUUCUUCAGUAGUGUAUUUACUGGUCUCAGUGUGCAGCUCUAACUCCCUGAAACUCACAACAUACAUCAGUCUGGCCUCAAACUCAGAUUUACCUAUCUGUGCUUCCCCGUAUCAGGAUUAAAGGCGUGAGCCACCAUGCCCUGCUAUGAAUUCCUACUGUAGGUUUUACAUAUGAAUAUGAAAUGACCCUGCAGGUAAAAUGCCUACUAUGUAGGCCUGAUGGCCCAAGUUCAUACCUCAAAAUCCAUGUAAAGGCUCAAAAAAGAGAAUUGACUGACUCUUAAAAUCGUCCUCUGACCUCCACAUGCGAGUCAUGGCAUAAUAAUUUGUAAUUAAUAUAUUUUACUAUAUAAUUUAUAAUUCUAAACAUUCAUUCCUUUUUAUUGUAUGUGUAUGUGUAAAUUCCUGCAUGUGUACAUGUGGACCACAUGCUUGUCUGGUACCUUAGGUCAGAAGAGGGAAUUGGAUCUCUUGGAAUUGGAGUUACAGGCAGUCGUGAGAUACCAUAUGGAUGCUGGGAUUGAAACUCAAGUACUCUGUAAGAGCACUGAGGGUGCCUAACUGCUGAGUCAUCUCUACAGCCCCAUAAUAAGACCAUACAAGCAAGGAAACGAACUUUCUUGGGAUAAGAGAGACCACUUGGCAGAAAAAUGCUCUCUUUGUUCUCAUUCAAAUGACCUUUUCUCGGAUGGCAUUCAUGUCUGAAGCUUCCUAUAUUCCUUCGAUUCUCCAAGAUCCUUGUGAGGAGAGCAGAAGGAGAACACAGUGACCCCAAGGAAGUAGUCCACAGCGGAAGGGCACAGAAAUGGUGGUAGAGGGCUCAAGUGACAUCGCAGAGGAGGGCAGCGGUGCCACCAAGAAUGUGAAAAAGGCGCUGUUGAAAGGGAGGUUCAUAAGCUGUCCAAACCAGGGUCAUAAGCUCCCAGAAAAGUGGCUAUAAUUUCUGCUGAUGAAUUGGAGGAAAUUUGCAAUAAGGAAAAAUACACCCAUCUGAAAAGAAAUCCAGUUCAGAAGGUCAGUCCAGCCCCAAACAACCUCAGGGAACAGGAAUUGGACUCACAGAACAAUGCGGCACUUACUUGGCUUUACAGAGGCCAGCUCAUUCCUUUCCAAAGUGCACACAGUUCACACCUAAUUCUGUGCUGAAGUAUCUACAGAGAACCUAGACACACAGGAGCUCCUCCAAAUUUCUCACUGUUUCUCUGUCCAGAUGCAGGACAGGUCCUUUCGAAGGCUCAGCAACUGUUGACAGUGAGACCAGUUACCACGAACAGUGAAGUCCCUUGAGAGUGUCACCUGAGGAGAUUUUCCUUUAAAUACCAGCAAACAGACAGACAUGACAGUCCAUGCCUGAAAUCCUAGUGCUUGGGAGGCAGAGGCAGGAGGAGCAUGGAUUCAAGGCCAACGUAGGCUGCAUAGUGACACCCUGUCUCAAAAUGAGAACAAAGGCAAGGGCGCAAAAGCAAAGUGCAGGGGCCAGUGGGGGCCUGAGGUCUGGAUCACUCCGGAGCUGCAGUAACUGAUGCCAGGCAGUAAAACACAUAGGACAGAAGGACCUGAGGUCAAUCCCAGGCUCCCAUACGAAGAGGCAGCGAGGUGGUGUAUGCUCGUAGUUUCAAAGCUGAGGCAGCAGAGACAGGAGGAUUAUGGGACUUGGACAGCCAGUAUAACCAAGCAAGUGAGCUUCAGUUUCAGAGAGACCCCAUCUCAAAAGAAGGUAGAGAAACGAGGAAGAAGCUUGGUGCUAACCUCUGACCUUCACACACCCGGUACAUAGGCAUAUGCACAUAUGUGGACGUAUGCACAUCAGAUUUUUUUCCAUCUUAAAGGUUUAAUAUAGUUUGAAAAACAAACCUGAUUUUAAAAAAAGGAAAAAAGCAAACUUAUAAGGUGUCAGAUACAAACUCCUAAGCACCAUUUGGCCACAUGACAAGAGUGACAGCUCGUGACCCAAAAUGUUUCAAACCUUAGUGGAAACUGGAAGGGAAUCUUACACGUAUCCUCCAAAAAUGACAGGACACAUUUUCUAGUAGAAAGAAUCUAGUAGGCAAGAUUUCUUUUAAUUAAAAAUUUUUUAGAUGCAACAUUACAGUAGAACCUCAUUAUAUAGUCAGGUCUGGUGACUAAUGGGCACAAAAGUAUUUAAAAAUCACAAACGCAAAAUCUAGUCCGAGUGGAUACUGAUGAGACCGAAUGCCUAUAAGAGCCUAUGAGAACACAGAUAAUACCAGUAUACGAUGGUCACAGCUCGUACUUACAUAGUGAUCCCUGGGUGCUCGCACUGUGCUGAGUGGUUGGCAUACCUGGACUCAUUUGAUUCUCACAAGAAUCCUUUACGGGGGUCACAUAUGUGGCUACUAUGGGCCCUACCAUUUUUGAUGCACCUAUAUUUAAAAAUCUGUCUGCCCGUCAGACUUUCCCGGAGGCCAGUGCUGAUUAAUCCUUUCAGAUUCUUCGGGCAAGGCCACUUUAAGAUUCCUUAGGAGAAGGCAGUAAAUCUACUUUCACUGAACCCCACCUCUGCGGGGUUCUGUGCUACUAGGGAGCAUAGACCAUCACAACACUGAAUACUUAUGACAACCUUUUGAGGUGAUAAAUGUGAUUAACUUUGUUUUACAUCUGUAGAAAGUACAGAGUUAUAGGCCCCAAGAGAGGGCUCAAGUUAACACUGGUUCUUCUGUCAGAGAUCCCAGUUUUGUUUCUAGCACCCACAUGGUGGCUCCCAAAUAUCCAUUACUCUGUCCUCUGUGGGCACCAAGCAUGGGUAUGGUGAACAUACAUGACAAACAUACACACUCACAGGCAAAACACUCAUGAACAUAAAACAAUUUUUUAAAAAUGCUAUAGAUGUGAAAGGCUUAGUACAGUGUACACCUAGUAAAUGGCAAAGUAAGACUUUCAACCUAUGUCUGUCAGAGUCCUAAAUUUUGUGUUCUUUAUGGUGUGUGUGGGUGUGUUUGUGUUAGGGUUUCUAUUCCUACACAAACAUCAUGAUCAAGAAGAAG
rnacentral:sRNA from 1 species